UCUUUUCCGAGUGAUUUUAGAGGUAUGGGGAUGAAUUCUUGAGGAAUUUAAGUGUUUCGUCGCAAGUUGGGCGCGAAACGAAAUUGAAAGACAGUAUCCGGAUUACGACGCUAACUUUGAUUGGAUGAAUCAAAGUGAGGCAUGAGGAUAGUUUGUGGCAUCCCUGAAUUAAAUUGGAGGCGUGGGGAUAGUUAAUAGUAUGUUUAGAAGUGUUUGGGGGUGUUCGGCGCGAAGUGGACGCGCGAUUGGACCCCGAAAUAAUGCUGCUGCCAGCAGUGCAGGAAUUG
rnacentral:lncRNA from 1 species